GACGAACGCUGGCGGCGUGCUUAACACAUGCAAGUCGAACGGAAAGGCCUUUUCGGAGGUACUCGAGUGGCGAACGGGUGAGUAACACGUGGGUGAUCUGCCCUGCACUCUGGGAUAAGCCUGGGAAACUGGGUCUAAUACCGGAUAGGACCGCACUUUAGUGUGUGUGGUGGAAAGUUGUUUCGGUGUAGGAUGAGCCCGCGGCCUAUCAGCUUGUUGGUGGGGUAAUGGCCUACCAAGGCGGCGACGGGUAGCCGGACUGAGAGGUUGGUCGGCCACAUUGGGACUGAGAUACGGCCCAGACUCCUACGGGAGGAAGCAGUGGGGAAUAUUGCACAAUGGGCGCAAGCCUGAUGCAGCGACGCCGCGUGGGGGAUGACGGCCUUCGGGUUGUAAACUCCUUUCGCCAGGGACGAAGCGUUUUGUGACGGUACCUGGAGAAGAAGCACCGGCUAACUACGUG
rnacentral:rRNA from 1 species